GAGUGCACGUGGCGCAGUGUUUCUGGCUGUUAACCAGAGGGUUGGUGGUUCGAGCCCACCCAGGGAUG